AUCCCAGCAGCUUCAACCGAAGCGCAGCAACAUCACCGCACUCUGCAAGCCGGGACAACAGGCGUGCACUUGGGGUUGGGGAUGGCCCUGAAGUGGACGACGCUGUUGCCGGUCAGCCUGCGGCGGCCUCUGCAGUCAGGAAGGCCGGAGGACGCGUCGCUGCCGCCGCCGCCGCCCUGCUGCAACGGCGCGAGGGUCUCGACGACGUCGCUCAUGAGCGGCCUGGCCUUGGGGUUCUGGCUCAGGCAGUAGAACGCGAGGCUGCAGGACUUGUGAGCGGCUCUGGCCGAGUACUGCCCCUCCAGCCUCGGGUCGAUGAUCUGGAGGAGCCUCCUCUUGUCGUUGAGCUUCGGGAGCGCCCAGUCCACCAGGCUCUGCUCCCUGCUGGGCCGCGACUUGUCGAUCGACUUGCGCCCCGUCAGGAGCUCCAGCAGGACCACGCCGAAGCUGUACACGUCACUCCGAGCAGUCAAGUGACCUGCAAAUUCGGUGUCAUUAGGUGUAUAAAUGUGAUAUCAGAUCAUGCAUUAAGAAUAACACUUCUUUUUUUUUUGCUGGCUAUAAACUUCGCUAUGAAGUUACAUUCGAAUACUGAAA
rnacentral:misc_RNA from 1 species